GAGCUUGCUGCAUUGCAGCCGCCGCGGCGCCGCUCGGCUCUUCACUCCCAACAAUGGCGGCUCCGAGCCCGAGCGGCGGCGGCGGCUCCGGGGGCGGCAGCGGCAGCGGCACCCCCGGCCCCGUAGGGUCCCCGGCGCCAGGCCACCCGGCCGUCAGCAGCAUGCAGGGCUUUCAGAUAAACUUCUGUGAAAAGGCACAAAGUAAACGCAAAGCACUGAAGUUGAAUUUUGCAAAUCCACCUUUCAAAUCUACAGCAAGGUUUACUCUGAAUCCCAAUCCUACAGGAGUUCAAAACCCACACAUAGAGAGACUGAGAACACACAGCAUUGAGUCAUCAGGAAAACUGAAGAUCUCCCCUGAACAACACUGGGAUUUCACUGCAGAGGACUUGAAAGACCUUGGAGAAAUUGGACGAGGAGCUUAUGGUUCUGUCAACAAAAUGGUCCACAAACCAAGUGGGCAAAUAAUGGCAGUUAAAAGAAUUCGGUCAACAGUGGAUGAAAAAGAACAAAAACAACUUCUUAUGGAUUUGGAUGUAGUAAUGCGGAGUAGUGAUUGCCCAUACAUUGUUCAGUUUUAUGGUGCACUCUUCAGAGAGGGUGACUGUUGGAUCUGUAUGGAACUCAUGUCUACCUCGUUUGAUAAGUUUUACAAAUAUGUAUAUAGUGUAUUAGAUGAUGUUAUUCCAGAAGAAAUUUUAGGCAAAAUCACUUUAGCAACUGUGAAAGCACUAAACCACUUAAAAGAAAACUUGAAAAUUAUUCACAGAGAUAUCAAACCUUCCAAUAUUCUUCUGGACAGAAGUGGAAAUAUUAAGCUCUGUGACUUCGGCAUCAGUGGACAGCUUGUGGACUCUAUUGCCAAGACAAGAGAUGCUGGCUGUAGGCCAUACAUGGCACCUGAAAGAAUAGACCCAAGCGCAUCACGACAAGGAUAUGAUGUCCGCUCUGAUGUCUGGAGUUUGGGGAUCACAUUGUAUGAGUUGGCCACAGGCCGAUUUCCUUAUCCAAAGUGGAAUAGUGUAUUUGAUCAACUAACACAAGUCGUGAAAGGAGAUCCUCCGCAGCUGAGUAAUUCUGAGGAAAGGGAAUUCUCCCCGAGUUUCAUCAACUUUGUCAACUUGUGGUAUUGGUGAAAAACAGCCAUGAGUGGUGGAGAAGCUGCUGUCUCCAGACUUCCAGUACCUGGUACAAGAAAUACCAGGUUAAACUUCUAGCCUUACGAAGGAUGAAUCCAAAAGGCCAAAGUAUAAAGAGCUUCUGAAACAUCCCUUUAUUUUGAUGUAUGAAGAACGUGCCGUUGAGGUCGCAUGCUAUGUUUGUAAAAUCCUGGAUCAAAUGCCAGCUACUCCCAGCUCUCCCAUGUAUGUCGAUUGAUAUCGCUGCUACAUCAGACUCUAGAAAAAAGGGCUGAGAGGAAGCAAGACGUAAAGAAUUUUCAUCCCAUAUCACAGUGUUUUUAUUGCUCGCCCAGACACCAUGUGCAAUAAGAUUGGUGUUCGUUUCCAUCAUGUCUGUAUACUCCUGUCACCUAGAACGUGCAUCCUUGUAAAACCUGAUUGAUCACACAGUGUUAGUGCUGGUCAGAGAGACCUCAUCCUGCUCUUUUGUGAUGAACAUAUUCAUGAAAUGUGGAAGUCAGUACGAUCAAGUUGUUGACUGUGAUUAGAUCACAUCUUAAAUUCAUUUCUAGACUCAAAACCUGGAGAUGCAGCUACUGGAAUGGUGUUUUGUCAGACUUCCAAAUCCUGGAAGGACACAGUGAUGAAUGUACUAUGUCUGAACAUAGAAACUCGGGCUUGAGUGAGAAGAGCUUGCACAGCCAACGAGACACAUUGCCUUCUGGAGCUGGGAGACAAAGGAGGAAUUUACUUUCUUCACCAAGUGCAAUAGAUUACUGAUGUGAUAUUCUGUUGCUUUACAGUUACAGUUGAUGUUUGGGGAUCGAUGUGCUCAGCCAAAUUUCCUGUUUGAAAUAUCAUGUUAAAUUAGAAUGAAUUUAUCUUUACCAAAAACCAUGUUGCGUUCAAAGAGGUGAACAUUAAAAUAUUGAGACAGGACAGAAUGUGUUCUUUUCUCCUUUACCAGUCCUGUUUUUCAAUGGGAAGACUCAGGAGUCUGCCACUUGUCAAAGAAGGUGCUGAUCCUAAGAAUUUUUCAUUCUCAGAAUUCGGUGUGCUGCCAACUUGAUGUUCCACCUGCCACAAACCACCAGGACUGCAAGAAGAAAACAGUACAGAAGGCAAAGUUUACAGAUGUUUUUAAUUCUAGUAUUUUAUCUGGAACAACUUGUAGCAGCUAUAUAUUUCCCCUUGGUCCCAAGCCUGAUACUUUAGCCAUCAUAACUCACUAACAGGGAGAAGUAGCUAGUAGCAAUGUGCCUUGAUUGAUUAGAUAAAGAUUUCUAGUAGGGAGCAAAAGACCAAAUCUCAGUUGUUUGCUUCUUGCCAUCACUGGUCCAGGUCUUCAGUUUCCGAAUCUCUUUCCCUUCCCCUGUAGUCUAUUGUCGCUAUGUGACUUGCGCUUAAUCCAAUAUUUUGCCUUUUUUCUAUAUCAAAAAACCUUUACAGUUAGCAGGGAUGUUCCUUACCAAGGAUUUUUAGCCCCAAAUCUCUCAUAUUCGCUAGUGUUUAAAAGGCUAAGAAUAGUGGGGCCCAGCCGAUGUGGUAGGUGAUAAAGAGGCAUCUUUUCUAGAGACACAUUGGACCAGAUGAGGAUCCGAAACGGCAGCCUUUACGUUCAUCACCUGCUAGAACCUCUCGUAGUCCAUCACCAUUUCUUGGCAUUGGAAUUCUACUGGAAAAAAAUACAAAAAGCAAAACAAAACCCUUAGCACUGUUACAAGAGGCCAUUUAAGUAUCUUGUGCUUCUUCACUUACCCAUUAGCCAGGUUCUCAUUAGGUUUUGCUUGGGCCUCCCUGGCACUGAACCUUAGGCUUUGUAUGACAGUGAAGCAGCACUGUGAGUGGUUCAAGCACACUGGAAUAUAAAACAGUCAUGGCCUGAGAUGCAGGUGAUGCCAUUACAGAACCAAAUCGUGGCAGGUAUUGCUGUGUCUCCUCUCAGAGUGACAGUCAUAAAUACUGUCAAACAAUAAAGGGAGAAUGGUGCUGUUUAAAGUCACAUCCCUGUAAAUUGCAGAAUUCAAAAGUGAUUAUCUCUUUGAUCUACUUGCCUCAUUUCCCUAUCUUCUCCCCCACGGUAUCCUAAACUUUAGACUUCCCACUGUUCUGAAAGGAGACAUUGCUCUAUGUCUGCCUUCGACCGCAGCAAGCCAUCAUCCUCCAUUGCUCCCGGGGACUCAAGAGGAAUCUGUUUCUCUGCUGUCAACUUCCCAUCUGGCUCAGCAUAGGGUCACUUUGCCAUUAUGCAAAUGGAGAUAAAAGCAAUUCUGACUGUCCAGGAGCUAAUCUGACCGUUCUAUUGUGUGGAUGACCACAUAAGAAGGCAAUUUUAGUGUAUUAAUCAUAGAUUAUUAUAAACUAUAAACUUAAGGGCAAGGAGUUUAUUACAAUGUAUCUUUAUUAAAACAAAAGGGUGUAUAGUGUUCACAAACUGUGAAAAUAGUGUAAGAACUGUACAUUGUGAGCUCUGGUUAUUUUUCUCUUGUACCAUAGAAAAAUGUAUAAAAAUUAUCAAAAAGCUAAUGUGCAGGGAUAUUGCCUUAUUUGUCUGUAAAAAAUGGAGCUCAGUAACAUAACUGCUUCUUGGAGCUUUGGAAUAUUUUAUCCUGUAUUCUUGUUUGAAUUCCUCCUCUAUUUAAGAUAUAUACAUGGAAUCGAAGUGUUUAUGUAAUAGUUCUAUCCUUUUGCCUGCAGGUCAGUUGUAAUAAAUCUAGGAUGUGAUGAUGA